UUCCGGUUGAUCCUGCCGGACCCCACUGCUAUCGAGGUGGGACUAAGCCAUGCUAGUCGAACGACCCGGACUAUGGCGGGGAGUGGCAGACUGCUCAGUAACACGUAGCUAACCUACCCUCGGGACGGGGAUAACUCCGGGAAACUGGGGCUAAUACCCGAUAGGUGUGGAUUCCUGGAAUGGUGCCAUGCCUAAAUGUAAGCGCAUCCAUGUUUUGUGUGCACGCCCGAGGAUGGGGCUGCGGCCGAUCAGGCAGUUGGUGAGGUAACGGCUCACCAAACCUUUGACCGGUACGGGCCAUGAGAGUGGUAGCCCGGAGAUGGGCACUGAGACAAGGGCCCAGGCCCUACGGGGCGCAGCAGGCGCGAAACCUCCACAAUUCACGCAAGUGAGAUGGGGUUACCUCGAGUGCCGUCUGAAGAAGGCGGCUUUUCCAUGGUGUAACAAGCCGUGGGAAUAAGGGGGGGGCAAGACUGGUGUCAGCCGCCGCGGUAACACCAGCCCCCCGAGUGGUGGGGAUGAUUAUUUGGCCUAAAGCGUCCGUAGCCGGCUUUGUAAAUCUCUCGUUAAAUCCAGCGUCCUAAGCGUUGGGCUGCGAGAGACACUGCAGAGCUAGAGGGUGGGAGAGGUCAGCGGUAUUCCUGGGGUAGGGGCGAAAUCCAUUGAUCCCAGGAGGACCACCAGUGGCGAAGGCUGCUGUCCAGAACACGCCUGACGGUCAGGGACGAAAGCUGGGGUAGCGAAUCGGAUUAGAUACCCGAGUAGUCCCAGCCGUAAACGAUGCAGCUAGGUGUUGGGUCGGCCACGCGCCGCCUCAGUGCCACAGGGAAAGCCAUUAAGCCUGCCGCCUGGGGAGUACGGGCCGCAAGGCUGAAACUUAAAGGAAUUGGCGGGGGAGCACCACCAGCGUGAAGCCUGCGGUUUAAUUGGAUUCAACGCGGG
rnacentral:rRNA from 1 species